CCUACGGGUGGCAGCAGUGAGGAAUAUUGGUCAAUGGGCGCAAGCCUGAACCAGCCAAGUCGCGUGAGGGAAGACGGUCCUAUGGAUUGUAAACCUCUUUUGUCGGGGAGCAAAAGACGCCACGCGUGGCGUUCCGAGAGUCCCCGAAGAAAAAGCAUCGGCUAACUCCGUGCCAGCAGCCGCGGUAAUACGGAGGAUGCGAGCGUUAUCCGGAUUUAUUGGGUUUAAAGGGUGCGCAGGCGGAAGAUCAAGUCAGCGGUAAAAUUGAGAGGCUCAACCUCUUCGAGCCGUUGAAACUGGUGUUCUUGAGUGAGUGAGAAGUAUGCGGAAUGCGGGGUGUAGCGGUGAAAUGCAUAGAUAUCACGCAGAACUCCGAUUGCGAAGGCAGCAUACCGGCGCUCAACUGACGCUCAUGCACGAAAGUGUGGGUAUCGAACAGGAUUAGAUACCCCAGUAGUC
rnacentral:rRNA from 1 species